rnacentral:misc_RNA from 1 species
UGUAAAUUUAAUUGCAUAUCAUAAAAUUCUUCCAGGACCAGGGAAAAAUGCGGUGCACUUUGAUGGUCCUCUCGUUCACCUUGACGUGUGUGGCUUCACGCGCAAAUGACACUCGCAGGUAACCCCUCAGAUCAGAGAAAAUUAAGAGAAUUCAUGUGGUUUAUAAUCUCUAUCGCAUGACAUUCGGUGACAUGCACAAAGUGCAGCGUGCUCUACUCUCCUCCUCGAAUCUUGAAAGAUUUCCUAGAAGGUCGUACAGAACACAAGGAGUGCAUUUUCGGUUUGCCCCGACCCUAACAGGUUACCUACAUCUCGGAGGCCUCCGUACAGCUCUGUGCAACAUGGUGCAACUAUUUAUUGGCCCGGGCCAAGUAAGGAAAUUCUAUUCCACCCGUAAAAGACACGAAUCAAACAGGACUCAUACCAGAUGCUGCCGGUAACUUCCAAGAGGAUCAAUUUUAGGCUGGAAUCAUCCCGCACAAAGACCCGACAAGGAGUGGACCCGUAGGCCCUUACUUUCAAUCAAAACGUCUGGAAUUAUACAA